rnacentral:rRNA from 1 species
GGAGCUUGCUCCACCGAAAGAAAAGGAGUGGCGAACGGGUGAGUAACACGUGGGUAACCUGCCCAUCAGAAGGGGAUAACACUUGGAAACAGGUGCUAAUACCGUAUAACAAUAGAAACCGCAUGGUUUCUAUUUGAAAGGCGCUUUUGCGUCACUGNUGGAUGGACCCGCGGUGCAUUAGCUAGUUGGUGAGGUAACGGCUCACCAAGGCAACGAUGCAUAGCCGACCUGAGAGGGUGAUCGGCCACAUUGGGACUGAGACACGGCCCAAACUCCUACGGGAGGCAGCAGUAGGGAAUCUUCGGCAAUGGACGAAAGUCUGACCGAGCAACGCCGCGUGAGUGAAGAAGGUUUUCGGAUCGUAAAACUCUGUUGUUAGAGAAGAACAAGGAUGAGAGUAGAAUGUUCAUCCCUUGACGGUAUCUAACCAGAAAGCCACGGCUAACUACGUGCCAGCAGCCGCGGUAAUACGUAGGUGGCAAGCGUUGUCCGGAUUUAUUGGGCGUAAAGCGAGCGCAGGCGGUUUCUUAAGUCUGAUGUGAAAGCCCCCGGCUCAACCGGGGAGGGUCAUUGGAAACUGGGAAACUUGAGUGCAGAAGAGGAGAGUGGAAUUCCAUGUGUAGCGGUGAAAUGCGUAGAUAUAUGGAGGAACACCAGUGGCGAAGGCGGCUCUCUGGUCUGUAACUGACGCUGAGGCUCGAAAGCGUGGGGAGCAAACAGGAUUAGAUACCCUGGUAGUCCACGCCGUAA